CGGAGGAAAAGAAACUAACAAGGAUUCCCCUAGUAACGGCGAGUGAAGCGGGAAGAGCUCAAAUUUGAAAUCUGGUGGCCUCAGGUCAUCCGAGUUGUAAUCUAUAGAAGUGUUUUCCGUGCUGGCUCAUGUACAAGUCCCUUGGAACAGGGCGUCAUAGAGGGUGAGAAUCCCGUCCUUGACAUGAACUACCAGUGCUCUGUGAUACAUUUUCAACGAGUCGAGUUGUUUGGGAAUGCAGCUCAAAAUGGGUGGUAAAUUCCAUCUAAAGCUAAAUAUUGGCGAGAGACCGAUAGCGAACAAGUACCGUGAGGGAAAGAUGAAAAGCACUUUGGAAAGAGAGUUAAACAGUAUGUGAAAUUGUUGAAAGGGAAACGAUUGAAGUCAGUCGUGCUCUUUGGAUUCAGCCGGUUCUGCCGGUGUACUUCCUUUGAGUGGGGUCAACAUCAGUUUUGAUCGCUGGAUAAAGGCUGGAGGAACGUAGUACCCUCGGGUAAACUUAUAGCCUCCUGUCACAUACAGUGGUUGGGACUGAGGAACGCAGCACGCCUUUAUGGCCGGGAUUCGUCCACGUACGUGCUUAGGAUGUUGACAUAAUGGCUUUAAACGACCCGUCU
rnacentral:rRNA from 1 species